GGGGUCGACUUGGCUUUGACAGCGUGACGAAGGGACAGGUAAGCAUGCCGUGCGUGGAUAUUGCUAGCACGUUAAUCUCAGUGUAUCAUAAAGAUUUUAGUUGGCGAAAAUAAUUACGCUCUCGCUGCCUAACCGAAGUACAGUAAGUUACGGCUUUAUCCGCUUACGAUAGAAGUGGACGAGACGUCACCCGAAACUCUUAUUCCGAAGUGAAUCGAAUUAGGUGGCGCACUAAUAUCGGAGUCUCCCAUGUGAGAUGCUCCCGUAGCAUUAUGGAGUAUUACCGGAGAUAAGCCAUGCCUAUAUAGAGGCUUGAACUAUGUGCAUGGCCGACAAAGUAAAGAUAAGAUAAGCAUGUAGAAAGCUUGCUCAUUCCGCGUUUGGACGAGGGUUCAAUUCCCUCCGGCUCCACC
rnacentral:tmRNA from 1 species